rnacentral:rRNA from 1 species
AAACCGACACAGGUGGACAGGAAGAGAAUUCUAAGGCCAGCGGGAGAAGGGUAGUUAAGGAACUCGGCAAAUUGACUCCGUAACUUCGGGAAAAGGAGUGCUCUCGAGAGAGAGCCGCAGUGAAUAGGCCCAGGCGACUGUUUAGCAAAAACACAGGUCUCUGCCAAAUCGAAAGAUGAAGUAUAGGGGCUGACACCUGCCCGGUACUGGAAGGUUAAGAGGAGGAGUGAGAGCUCCGAAUUGAAGCCCCAGUAAACGGCGGCCGUAACAAUAACGGUCCUAAGGUAGCGAAAUUCCUUGUCGGGUAAGUUCCGACCCGCACGAAUGGUGUAACGAUCUGGGCACUGUCUCAACUACCCGCCCGGCGAAAUUGUAGUACCGGUGAAGAUGCCGGUUACCUGCGACAAGACGGAAAGACCCCAUGGAGCUUUACUGUAGCUUGAUAUUGGGUUUCGGUAAUUUAUGUUCAGGAUAUGUGGGAGACUGGGAAGUUAUGGCGCCAGCCAUAAUGGAGUCGAUGUUGGGAUACCACACUUAGAUUGCUGGAAUUCUAACCUGUGGCCAUGAAACUGGUCAGGGGACAUCGUCAGGUGGGCAGUUUGACUGGGGCGGUCGCCUCCGAAAGAGUAACGGAGGCGCUCAAAGGUUGGCUCAGCACGGACGGAAACCGUGCAUUAGAGUGUAAACGCGUGAGCCAGCUUAACUGCGAGGGUGACGGCCCGAGCAGUAACGAAAGUUGGAGUUAGUGAUCCGGCGGUAUGUGAAUGGAAAUGCCGUCGCUCAACGGAUAAAAGCUACCCUGGGGAUAACAGGCUGAUCUCCCCCAAGAGUCCACAUCGACGGGGAGGUUUGGCACCUCGAUGUCGGCUCAUCACAUCCUGGGGCUGUAUUCGGUCCCAAGGGUUCGGCUGUUCGCCGAUUAAAGUGGUACGCGAGCUGGGUUCAGAACGUCGCGAGACAGUUCGGUCCCUAUCUGUCGUGGGCGCAGGAUAUUUGAGGAGCUCUGUCCUUAGUACGAGAGGACCGGGAUGGACGUACCUCUGGUGCACCAGUUGUCAUGCCAGUGGCACAGCUGGGCAGCUAUGUACGGAACGGAUAAACGCUGAAAGCAUCUAAGCGUGAAGCCGACUCCAAGAUUAGAUAUCCCAUCAGAAUAUGAGUAAGACCCCUUGUAGACUACGAGGUUGAUAGGCUGCGUGUGUAAGCAUGGUGACAUGUUCAGCUUGGCAGUACUAAUAGGUCGAGGGCUUGACCGA